rnacentral:rRNA from 1 species
AGUGAACGCUGGCGGUAGGCCUAACACAUGCAAGUCGAACGGCAGCACAGUAAGAGCUUGCUCUUACGGGUGGCGAGUGGCGGACGGGUGAGGAAUACAUCGGAAUCUACUUUUUCGUGGGGGAUAACGUAGGGAAACUUACGCUAAUACCGCAUACGACCUACGGGUGAAAGCAGGGGAUCUUCGGACCUUGCGCGAUUGAAUGAGCCGAUGUCGGAUUAGCUAGUUGGCGGGGUAAAGGCCCACCAAGGCGACGAUCCGUAGCUGGUCUGAGAGGAUGAGAAGACAGAAGGGAACUGAGACACGGUCCAGACUCCUACGGGAGGCAGCAGUGGGGAAUAUUGGACAAUGGGCGCAAGCCUGAUCCAGCCAUACCGCGGGGGUGAAGAAGGCCGGCGGGUUGUAAAGCCGUUUUGUUGGGAAAGAAAAGCAGCAGGUUAAUACCCCGCUGUUCUGACGGUACCCAAAGAAUAAGCACCGGCUAACUUCGUG